rnacentral:tRNA from 1 species
GGGUCGAUGCCCGAGCGGUUAAAGGGGACGGACUGUAAAUUCGUUGGUAAUAUGCCUACGCUGGUUCAAAUCCAGCUCGGCCCA